UGUGUGUGUAUCUCAGAGUCUGCUGGAUGUGUGUGUGGACGUGAGUUCUGGUGUCCUGAUGUCCGGGAGCAGAGUCGUUCUCUCCGCUGAAGCCGGAAAACCGCAGCAGCUCUGGAACGUCACGAGUGACGGGAUCAUCCGGAGUCACGCCAGACCAGAGCUCGUGCUGGAGGUCAAAGGAGGUCAACAGUUCGACAAACACCAGAUUAUUCUGAACGAAUUCCACGCAGACAAACUGAAUCAGCGCUGGUCUCUGGAGAUCCUCUGAGCUCUGCUGCGGAGCUGCGCCAGGGGGACCGGUGCCCUGUGAGGCGGCUGCACCAGAGGGACCAUCAACUGUGGAAAUCUCAUUCUCAUGACAGCCAGUGGAUUGAAUAUGACCAUAAUCCACUGGACAUCGUGCUAUUAUUUUUCUUUUUUUUUCAAGAACUCUCAGAUUUGAGCGCACACUUGAACAAUAAUAACUAUUUUCCUUUGUGUAAGUUGCAUGAACGUACCUGUUUGGACAUUGAUCUCAGCUGUAUUAAAACGCAAGGCUUGUUUGU